rnacentral:misc_RNA from 1 species
ACGGCUUAUCGGAAUGCCGCCGACCGAGAAUAGUAACACACCUAGCGACUGUCUGCCUGCAGUGGUUCUCUGCUUUUCAUACCGUUUUCAAACUUGCUAACUGAAAUUCGUAGUGAAAAAGAACGCCUCUCGCGCGAUGGCCAUAGUUUCACGGGGAAGUUUCAGCUGUGGUCACGCUACCUGGCGAUUAUGAUCGAUAAGUCAUGGAUAAUGCGUUGACAAGCUUGACCCAUUGAUUUCGUCGACAAAAUAUCAAGCGUAGAAUAUAAUUGAAAUGGAAUAUGAUAGUCAAGUCACAUCGCCAUUAAAUAAUAGUAACGAAACAGUCGUUCAACUGGGCCUCAUAAUGAGAGACGAGUACUUGUUAACGAAAUCAAUUAUGUUUGAAACGUUACACACUAUGCUCGUCGUAUUCAGUGUGCGUUUUGGGAUGAAUAUUCCAUGGCACGAUAGAAAGAAAAUUAUUUUCUCGAUAUAUCGUUACUUAAAUAGCAUCAUCUAAGAUGCAGAGCAUGUUAAAGUAGCAGAGCAAGAUGCAAAUAAAGCCAAAAUUUUAUUUGAAUAAUUAUUUGGAUAAAAAUUUAUUUGUUAUCAAGUAUAUGUUAAUGUAAUGUAUUUUAUCUAAUUGUAAGUCACUUAAGCGAACAUGCGUAUCACUGUGCUCUACCGUCUUUCCUAGGAAUUGGUAACGUACGAUACUCUGCAUUCGAAAUAUGUACCGCGAACGUUGAACCCGCUUGUAAACAUGUCGCUGUAUCUUAAACCCUAUCUUUACAAAUAAAUUCCCGCGAUCUUACUGGAUUUCUCUAACUGCUUAUCUACUGUAUUUAUAACAAUACGUAAUUCACAAU